UCUGUGUGUAUGUAUGUGUGUGUGUGUGUGUGUGUGUCACACACAUACACACACACACACACACAGUAA
rnacentral:miRNA from 1 species